GGCCCGGUAGCUCAGUGGUUAGAGCGCUGGCUUGACAAGCCAGAGGACCGGGGUUGAAUUCCCCGGCCGGGUGG